GGGUAGCUGCAGUAGAACUAAGUGCAAUAGAAGCAUUGGAAUUUGUCUCAGUUUGUAAUAAGCUCUGAGGGCAAAUGCUUGAAUCUGUCAUUACAAGACUCUCCUGCUAUUCUGAAUUUUAGUGCCAUCACGAGUUCUGCUGAUAUGCAAGAAGCUGAUUCACCCUGAUUUCUGCAAGCAGCAGCAAUAUGCAGGGUGAUACAAUGUGAAGUUGGUUGCCCAGGAAGGCCGGCUCCCAGAGACUGCUCUUUCAGCUCACUUAAUGCCAAAGAAGUCCUCGUAGACAUAUUAACUCAAGAAUAAACCAGUAUUUGCCAAGUUUGGACCCAACAACAAAUCAUGGUUCAUCUGAAACCACAAAUGAAAGCUGCAGAUUUCCAGCCUUUGCAUGAGAAGGGGUGGAGGGAGCAUGCAAGUCUGAGGUUUGUGUCACCAGUUUGCUUUCCCAGUCCUUUCUAUCCUCCACAAGAAUAGGGUGAAGUCAUCAAUCAUUAUUGUCCUGUCUCCAUUUCACCCUCUCAGAUACUUGGCUGGAUGGAGAUAGAAGACUCCUGUGGCCCCAGAUGGCAAUUCCAGGAUCCCCCUCCCCUGUCCAACAGCACUUGGUCAAAUGUGGAGGUGAUCACAGCAGCCUUCUUCUUCAAAAAGCAGAGCAAAGGCAGAGCUAACCUGUCAAAGGAUUGACAUCACCAGGCAGGAAACUGUCUAUCUCAUAAGAACAUCUUAGAAGGCCUUCUUGCAUGUGACUUCCCCUUCAGAGGUACAGUGUGCGGCCAUGUAUCUGGAAAUGCCUGUGUGUUUUAAGACUGAAACCUGAGAAACUGCAUACUGCUGCUGCUGCAUAGGGUAGCCAGAUGAAUGACAGCAGCGUUGCUAGUCACAGAGCUCUCAGGCCUGGAUUGACCCUGGCCAGCCAGGCUGUUCACUGGAUGCUUCCAAGGCAAGAAAGAUAUUCCUGCUUUGCCUCCAUUUCAAGGUCUACCCAGUCCUCUUGUGGCUCUUGGCUUGUCUCCUGAUUUUUGUUCCUGGUCUGUCAGCUUGGCCUUGACCCUUGCUUUUGGUGUUGGUUUCCAGAUUGCUUCCUGAGCCAAGUUCCUAGUCUGUUCUGGUUCUCAUCUGGGCCUUCCUGGUUCUGAUUUCAGUUUCUGACAUAUCCCCAGUGCUGAAAAAUAUGGCUGAAUAUGGCUGACACCGUAUGAGAAAGGGCCUCUUCAGUGGCCAGCCGCACCCUGUGAAACAACUUUCCCUGAGAGAUCCAACUGGUUCCAUCUCUGGGGGUUGUUGAGGCAACUAGCCAAACCCCAUCUAUUCUGACUGGCUUUCCCCCCAUUUGCUUGAGACUCUCUAAUUUGUUCUCCAGUAAAUUCUUUUAUUUUAA